UACGGAGGGUGCGAGCGUUGUCCGGAAUCACUGGGCGUAAAGGGCGCGUAGGCGGUCUGCUAAGCGUGUGGUGAAAGCUCGGGGCUCAACCCCGAGUCUGCCAUGCGAACUGGUGGACUUGAGCACUGUAGAGGCAGGUGGAAUUCCGGGUGUAGCGGUGGAAUGCGUAGAUAUCGGGAGGAACACCAGUGGCGAAGGCGGCGAUCUGGGAAGAUACUGACGCUGAGGUGCGAAAGCGUGGGGAGCAAACAGG
rnacentral:rRNA from 1 species